rnacentral:rRNA from 1 species
CCUACGGGUGGCUGCAGUGGGGAAUAUUGGACAAUGGGGGCAACCCUGAUCCAGCCAUGCCGCGUGUGUGAAGAAGGCCCUCGGGUUGUAAAGCACUUUCAGUGAGGAAGAACGCCUGGUGGUUAAUACCCAUCAGGAAAGACAUCACUCACAGAAGAAGCACCGGCUAACUCCGUGCCAGCAGCCGCGGUAAUACGGAGGGUGCGAGCGUUAAUCGGAAUUACUGGGCGUAAAGCGCGCGUAGGUGGCUUGAUAAGCCGGUUGUGAAAGCCCCGGGCUCAACCUGGGAACGGCAUCCGGAACUGUCAAGCUAGAGUGCAGGAGAGGAAGGUAGAAUUCCCGGUGUAGCGGUGAAAUGCGUAGAGAUCGGGAGGAAUACCAGUGGCGAAGGCGGCCUUCUGGACUGACACUGACACUGAGGUGCGAAAGCGUGGGUAGCAAACAGGAUUAGAUACCCCGAUAGUC